rnacentral:rRNA from 1 species
AUUGAACGCUGGCGGAAUGCUUUACACAUGCAAGUCGAACGGCAGCACGGACUUCGGUCUGGUGGCGAGUGGCGAACGGGUGAGUAAUGUAUCGGAACGUGCCCAGUCGUGGGGGAUAACGUAGUGAAAAUUACGCUAAUACCGCAUACGAUCUAUGGAUGAAAGCGGGGGAUCGCAAGACCUCGCGCGAUUGGAGCGGCCGAUAUCAGAUUAGGUAGUUGGUGGGGUAAAGGCCCACCAAGCAAACGAUCUGUAGCUGGUCUGAGAGGACGACCAACCACACUGGAACUGAGACACGGUCCAGACUCCUACGGGAGGCAGCAGUGGGGAAUUUUGGACAAUGGGCGAAAGCCUGAUCCAGCCAUUCCGCGUGCAGGAUGAAGGCCCUCGGGUUGUAAACUGCUUUUGUACAGAACGAAAAGGUUUCUACUAAUACUAGGAGCUCAUGACGGUACUGUAAGAAUAAGCACCGGCUAACUACGUGCCAGCAGCCGCUGUAA